CUCAGGUAGACAGGGGAGCAAGUCCUCAGGUAGACAGGGGUGCAAGGCCUCAGGUAGACAGGGGUGCAAGGCCUCAGGUAGACAGGGGUGCAAGGCCUCAGGUAGACAGGGAGCAAGACCUCAGGUAGACAGGGGAGCAAGGCCUCAGGUAGACAGGGGAGCAAGGCCUCAGGUAGACAGGGGUGCAAGGCCUCAGGUAGACAGGGG